rnacentral:rRNA from 1 species
AAUAGAUACCCGGGUAGUCCAUGCCGUAAACGUUGGGAACUAGAUGUAGGGCCUGUUCCACGGGUUCUGUGUCGUAGCUAACGCAUUAAGUUCCCCGCCUGGGGAGUACGGCCGCAAGGCUAAAACUCAAAGGAAUUGACGGGGGCCCGCACAAGCGGCGGAGCAUGCGGAUUAAUUCGAUGCAACGCGAAGAACCUUACCAAGGCUUGACAUAUAGAAGAACGGGCGAGAGAUCGUCAACUCUUUGGACACUUCUAUACAGGUGGUGCAUGGUUGUCGUCAGCUCGUGUCGUGAGAUGUUCGGUUAAGUCCGGCAACGAGCGCAACCCUCGUCCUAUGUUGCCAGCACGUUAUGGUGGGAACUCAUGGGAUACUGCCGUGGUCAACACGGAGGAAGGUGGGGAUGACGUCAAAUCAUCAUGCCCCUUAUGUCUUGGGCUUCACGCAUGCUACAAUGGCCGAUACAAAGGGCUGCGAUACCGCGAGGUGGAGCGAAUCCCAAAAAGUCGGUCUCAGUUCGGAUUGGGGU